AGAGUUUGAUCCUGGCUCAGGAUGAACGCUGGCGGCGUGCCUAACACAUGCAAGUCGCGGGAGAAGUGCCUUCGGGCGCGGAAACCGGCGCACGGGUGAGUAACACGUAGCUUAUUUACCCCUUAGAGGUGGAUAACCUUUGGAAACAGCGGCUAAUACACCAUAAGCUCACGGUCUCUAGAGGGCUGCGAGAAAAGUUCAGGCGCUAAGGGAUGAGGCUGCGAGCCAUCAGCUAGUUGGUGCGGUAACGGCGUACCAAGGCGACGACGGCUAGGGGACCUGAGAGGGUGACCCCCCACACUGGAACUGAGAAACGGUCCAGACUUCUACGGAAGGCAGCAGUGAGGAAUAUUGCACAAUGGGCGCAAGCCUGAUGCAGCGACGCCGCGUGGGUGAAGAAGGAUUUCGGUCUGUAAACCCCUUUUCUGUGUGACGAGAGUGGACGGUAGCACAGGAAUAAGUCUCGGCUAACUACGUGCCAGCAGCCGCGGUAAAACGUAGGAGGCAAGCGUUAUCCGGAGUAACUGGGCGUAAAGGGCGGGUAGGUGGUUGUGUAAGUUGGUUAUGAAAGCUCCUGGCUAAACUGGGAGAGGUUGACCAAGACUGCAGAACUUGAGUGGAGAAGAGGUAAACGGAAUUCCGCGUGUAGUGGUGAAAUGCGUAGAGAUGCGGAAGAACACCAGUGGCGAAGGCGGUUUACUGGUCUCCAACUGACACUGAGCCGCGAAAGCAUGGGUAGCGAACGGGAUUAGAAACCCCGGUAGUCCAUGCCGUAAACGAUGCACACUAAACGUUCGUAAUCCGCGAGGGUUGUGAGUGUUGAAGCUAACGCGAUAAGUGUGCCGCCUGGGGAGUACGGUCGCAAGGCUAAAACUCAAAGGAAUUGACGGGGGCCCGCACAAGCAGCGGAGCGUGUGGUUUAAUUCGAGAGUACGCGAAGAACCUUACCUAGGUUUGACAUGAAUGUGGUACGAGUCGGAAACGACGAGGACUCUUCGGAGAGCAUUCACAGGUGCUGCAUGGUUGUCGUCAGCUCGUGCCGUGAGGUGUUCGGUUAAAUCCGCAAACGAGCGCAACCCUCGGCGUUAGUUACGAGUGUCUAACGCGACUGCCCGUGGCAAACGGGAGGAAGGUGGGGAUGACGUCAAAUCAGCAUGGCCUUUAUAUCUAGGGCUACACACACGCUACAAUGGCGCGUACAGUGGGUCGCGAAACCGCGAGGUGGAGCCAAUCCUAAAAAGCGCGUCACAGUUCGGAUUGUAGGCUGCAACUCGCCUGCAUGAAGUCGGAGUUGCUAGUAACCGCGUAUCAGCACGGCGCGGUGAAUACGUUCCCGGGCCUUGUACACACCGCCCGUCACGUCAUGGGAGUUGGUUACGCCUGAAGUCGGGAAGCUAACCGCAAGGAGGCUACCGCCGAAGGCAGGACUGAUGACUGGGACGAAGUCGUAACAAGGUA
rnacentral:rRNA from 1 species